UACGGAGGGUGCAAGCGUUAUCCGGAUUCACUGGGUUUAAAGCGUGCGUAGGUGGUUGUUUAAGUCUGUUGUGAAAGCCCUGGGCUCAACCUGGGAAUUGCAGUGGAUACUGGGCGACUAGAGUGUGGUAGAGGGUAGUGGAAUUCCCGGUGUAGCAGUGAAAUGCGUAGAGAUCGGGAGGAACAUCCAUGGCGAAGGCAGCUACCUGGACCAACACUGACACUGAGGCACGAAAGCGUGGGGAGCAAACAGG
rnacentral:rRNA from 1 species